rnacentral:rRNA from 1 species
CCCUUAGAUGUUCUGGGCCGCACGCGCGCUACACUGAUGAAUUCAACGAGCACUAACCUGUGCCGAAAGGUUCGGGUAAUCUUGUGAAAUUUCAUCGUGAUGGGGAUUGAUUAUUGCAAUUUUUAAUCAUAAACGAGGAAUGCCUAGUAAGCGUGAGUCAUCAGCUCACGUUGAUUACGUCCCUGCCCUUUGUACACACCGCCCGUCGCUCCUACCGAUUGAAUGUGCCAGUGAAAAGUUCGGAUUGGAGAUAGGAAACGGCAACGUAUCCUAUUUCCGAGAAAAUCUUUAAACUUUCCCAUUGAGAGGAAGGAGAAGUCGUAACA